GGUCUCGUAGCUCAGUGGAAGAGCGCCCGCCUCACACGCGGGAGGUCGCUGGUUCGAACCCAGCCGGGACCA
rnacentral:tRNA from 3 species